rnacentral:rRNA from 1 species
GACGAACGCUGGCGGCGUGCUUAACACAUGCAAGUCGAGCGGUAAGGCCCUUUCGGGGUACGACGAGCGGCGAACGGGUGAGUAACACGUGGGUGACCUGCCUCCAGCUCUGGGAGUAAGCCUCGGGAAACCGGGUCUAAUACCGGAUAUGACUCCAUGACGCAUGUUGUGGGGUGGAAAGCCUUGUGCGGCUGAGGAUGGGCCCGCGGCCUAUCAGCUUGUUGGU